rnacentral:tRNA from 1 species
GUUGUUGUGGCCGAGUGGUUAAGGCACUGGACUUGAAAUCCAUUACGGUUUCUCUGCACAUGUCGAAAUCCUGCCAAUAACG